rfam:Nematostella vectensis strain CH2 x CH6 NEMVEscaffold_1791_Cont38706, whole genome shotgun sequence.
GACUCCGUGGCGCAAUGGUACCGCGUCUGACUCUAGAGGUUGCGUUUUCAAAUCACGUCGGGGUCA